GUUUUUCCUCUUCAUCUUUAUAGCGAAAAUACGUAUACAUACACAUAAUACAUAGGGUAUUUCUGUUAAUUGAAAGAAUCGAGGUGAUUCGAGGGAGAUCUGAGGAUUUCCCUGGAUCUAUUCAGCGGAUUUUGACUGGAUAGAUUGAUGAAUAAUGGCCAUUCAGAUGGAUAGCAGUUUAGAUCAUUCGUCACGGGAACGCGUUCAGCGGCUUUUCAACAAGAAUGUGGAGCUGGAUAACAAGCGUAGGAAAGCAGCACAAGCUAGAGUAUGUUCUGACCCCAACGCAUGGCAACAAAUGCGUGAAAACUAUGAAGC
rnacentral:misc_RNA from 1 species